rnacentral:rRNA from 1 species
CCUGGAGGAAGGUGGGGAUGACGUCAAAUCAUCAUGCCCCUUAUGCUUAGGGCUACACACGUGCUACAAUGGGUAGUACAGAGGGUUGCCAAGCCGUAAGGUGGAGCUAAUCCCUUAAAGCUACUCUCAGUUCGGAUUGUAGGCUGAAACUCGCCUACAUGAAGCUGGAGUUACUAGUAAUCGCAGAUCAGAAUGCUGCGGUGAAUGCGUUCCCGGGUCUUGUACACACCGCCCGUCACACCACGGGAGUUGGAGACGCCCGAAGCCGAUUAUCUAACCUUUUGGAAGAAGUCGUCGAAGGUGGAAUCAAUAACUGGGGUGAAGUCGUAACAAGGUAGCCGUAUCGGAAGGUGCGGCUGGAUCACCUCCUUUCUAAGGA